rnacentral:lncRNA from 1 species
UCCGAGAUUUAUUUUUAGCAGUUGACUUCAAACUCUUAUCAGGAUGAGGCCAAUCACCGUCACCAUCGGAUGUCAUCUGUAUACAAGUUUACAUCAAAAGAUAUAAAAAUCAAGUCAUUAGUUCAUAUUUCAUGCGACUACACUUACUAUUUUCAAGUUACUAGUACACAUUUCAAGAUACUACACUCAAACCAUUUUCAAAUAUCUAAUUGACUUUUUAUUUCACUAUACUCAACCAUUUUCAAAUAACUAGUAGACAUUUCAAGUAACUACACUUAACCAUUACACGUUUAAGUCACUAUACUUAACCAUUUCCAAAUAACUAAUUCAUAUUGCAAGUCACCACACUUAAAAUAUUUUCAAGUCACUAGUACACAUUUCAAAUCACUACACUUAACUAUUUUCAAUUAACUAAAUCUAUUACACAUUUCAAAUCACUACACUUAACUAUUUUCAAUUAACUAAAUCACAUUUCAAGUCAAUAUACUUAAUCAUUUUCGAGUGACUAUACUUUAUUAUUUUACAGUUAUUAGUACACAUUUCAAGUAACUACACUUAACCAUUUUCAAGCAUCAAGUUCACAAUUUCAAGUAACUAAACCGUUUUCAAGUCACAAGUUCACAAUUUCAAGUAACUACACUUAAUCAUUUUCAAGUCACUACAAUUAAUAAUUUUCAAAUAACUUAUUCUCUAGUACACAUUUCAAGUCACUACACUCUAACCAUUUUCAAAUAGCUAAUUAACAUUUCAAGUCUAUAAUUGAGCAUUUUCAAGUAACUACACAACCAUUUUCAAGUCACUAGUACAUAUUUCAAGUCACUACACUUAACCAUUUUCAAAUAACUAGUAGACAUUUCAAGUCACUACAUUUAACCAUUUUCAAAUAACUAAUUCACAUUUCAAGUCACUACACUUAACCAUUUUCAAGUAACUACUUGACAUUUAAAAUAACUAUACUUAACCAUUUUCAAGUCACUACACUUAAUCAUUCAUUUCAAGUCACUAUUCUUAACCUCUUUCAAGUAACUAAUUCACAUUUCAAGUAACUACACUUAACCACUUUCAAGUAACUGGUAACCGUUUUCAAGUCACAAGUUUGCAAUUUCAAGUAACUACACUAAACCAUUUCUUCCAAGUCACUACACUUAAUCAUUCAUUUCAAGUCACUACACUCUAACCAUUUUCAAAUAGCUAAUUGACAUUUCAAGUCACGAUACUUAACCAUUUUCAAGUAACGACACUUAACCAUUUUCAAGUCGUGUACUAGCAUUUCAAGUCACGACACUUAACUAUUUUCAAUUAACUAAUUCACAUUUUUAAGUCACCAUACUUAACCAUUUUCAAAUAAUUACACGUAACCAUUUUCAAGUCACUAGUACACAUUUCAAGUGACUAAGCCUAAACCAUUUUCAAGUCAUGAAUUCACAUUUCAAGUAUCAACACUAAACCAAUUUCAAAUCAUGAAUUCACAUUUUCAAGUGAUUACACUUUACUAAUUUCAAAACAUAAUUUCAAAACAUAAGUUCACUUUUCAAGAACUACACUAAACGAUUUUCAAGCUCUUUCCAUGUAUUUGAAUUGUUAUUUGACUGCAUAAAAGAAGUAAGUAGUGCUUUUUGUUGCCUACCUUUUGGUAUUGCUAAUGUGCAUACAUAUGCAUUGUCCAUUGUAAUAACUGAAAGUGUAACAUUAUUAUUUUUUGUUCAAUUUUAAUAAGUAUUAGUUAUAUAAUAUUUAAAUAAGUUACUCACUAGAAUAUCACCGAAGAAAAUGAAUAGUAUAGUUUUCUUAUCAUAAAGUUUUGUUUUCUUCACCUCCUAAUCGCCUACAUUAUUUAGUAGUAAACUGAAUAGGUUUCUUCAUAACCACCAUAAGACUCUUCACAUUAUUCAGAUGUUAACUAUAUAGCUGAUAGCACAUUAUUCAGCAGUUCACAGCACAGGUUUAUUCAAACUCACCACAGCUCAUUAAUAGUUCACUAUACUGGUCUCCACAUUUCCACCUCUAAUAACAUGAUCGACUCGAAGAACUGGUGUUUAUUUUAAAAAUUGCAUAAACAUUAAAUGAACACCACGUGAAGGGAAACCAAGAAUGUUCUCAAACCAACAACAACAAAUACAGUGUUUUUCCAUAUAGUGGGGUCUGGAGAGGAUAAAAUGUACGCAAUCCAUACCACUACCUCCAGAGAAGUAGAGAAGUUAUUUCCGAUAGACCCCCGGCUUAAGACAUAUAUAUAUACUUGAUGAUUCUUUAAAUCACAAAAUAUAUACUAACAGUUAUUACUGAAUUUUCAAUUCACAAAAUAAACCUACACACACUAUUUCACCAAAUCACCAAUUCCAAAGUGAAUAGGUCCAUGAGAAGGCUUAGUAUUCAUCCCCUUUCUUAAAAAACCCAAGAUACUUCAUUUUCUACCUAACAAGUCCAACUGAUAAACAAAUUUCUUCACAUCUAACAACUCUUUGUCCAUUCAACAAUUCCUCAGCUAAAAUUGAUGAAAGUCUACUAAGCAUCUGAUGGCGAGCAUCAACUAUAAUUCUCCUUGCCGAGAUUCCUCAACCUAACACCAUUUUUGUCUACACACUAUUCCUAUGGUCCUUUUUUUCCACUUUGUCACAACAAAAAAUGAUACAUAUACAAAGAAUUCAUCCUGAAUCUACAAAUCACAAAACAAAUCUAUCGAAACACUUUAAAACUAAAAUCACAAAUAUGAAGCUCAAAAAGGCAAAAAAAAUCACAAAAUAAAAAUACAUCGAGACACUACUGCAACAAAAAAUAGCCAAUAAAACUGAAAAAAUGAAAAAAAAAUCAUUAAAAAACUAUCAAAACUAUUUUUUACAACCGAAAUUACGAAUAAAAACUCAAACCACAGGUAGAAAAUUCCAAUUGAAGAAAACAACUACUUAAUGCAUGAAUGUGUGAAUGUGUGACUUGUCUCAUCCAAAAUGAUGUGAUCUCACUUCACUGAAUGCAGAACUAAGUUGCGGGAGAGCGGCUAGAGCAACAAUUGGUGGCGGGAGAGGAGAUCACCAGUGACGGAGAGAGCGGCGACGGCGACUGUUUGAGAAGGAGAGACAGUGACAGCGCUAUUUCGUCGAUGGCAGUGCUGGGCAGCUGUUGUUGGAGAUGAACGGAGGGAGGCGAAGCGGCGACGGAGGUCGAUAAUGAUUUUAUUUUAGAGAAAAGGUAGAGAAUAGAGGGUUUGUAGAGAGAGAGUGGGAGAGAGGAGGCUCACCGGCGCUGGGAUGGCCGACAGCAGCCAUGGAUGCUGAUGGAGAGGGGAUGAGAGUGUAGAGAGAGAAGGUAGAGAGAGAGGGUUGAUGUGCGGCUAUUUUUUGUGAAAAAAUGAAAACUAGGGUUUGGUGUUUUGAUUUAAAGAGGAAAGAAUGAGUUGAACAAUCUCAGCCGUUGGAUUAGUUUUGAUCAAUGGUUGAGAUCAAAAUUAUUUAAAAAGAAGGCCACCCAUUGAAUUUUAAUUUGAGGGUUAAAAAUUGGAUCAAUUUUGACUAUAAUUGCAAUAAAUUAAAUAGAACUUGGGCUAAAAUCAUUAUAUUGUGGUAAAAAUUAGGUCAA